rnacentral:rRNA from 1 species
UGAGUAACACGUGGGUAACCUGCCUCGAAAGAGGGGGAUAGCCUCCCGAAAGGGAGAUUAAUACCGCAUAACAUUAUUCUUCGCAUGAAGAGAUAAUCAAAGGAGUAAUCCGCUUUGAGAUGGACCCGCGGCGCAUUAGCCUAGUUGGUGAGGUAAUGGCUCACCAAGGCAACGAUGCGUAGCCGACCUGAGAGGGUGAUCGGCCACAUUGGAACUGAGAUACGGUCCAGACUCCUACGGGAGGCAGCAGUGGGGAAUAUUGCGCAAUGGGGAAACCCUGAACGCAGCAACGCCGCGUGGGUGAAGAAGGCCUUCGGGUUGUAAAGCUCUGUCUUCUGGGACGAUAAUGACGGUACCAGAGGAGGAAGCCACGGCUAACUACGUGCCAGCCGCCGC